rnacentral:rRNA from 1 species
CCUACGGGAGGCAGCAGUAGGGAAUCUUCCACAAUGGGCGAAAGCCUGAUGGAGCAACGCCGCGUGGGUGAAGAAGGUCUUCGGAUCGUAAAACCCUGUUGUUAGAGAAGAAAGUGCGUGAGAGUAACUGUUCACGUUUCGACGGUAUCUAACCAGAAAGCCACGGCUAACUACGUGCCAGCAGCCGCGGGAAUACGUAGGUGGCAUGCGUUAUCCGGAUUUAUUGGGCGUAAAGGGAACGCAGGCGGUCUUUUAAGUCUGAUGUGAAAGCCUUCGGCUUAACCGGAGUAGUGCAUUGGAAACUGGGAGACUUGAGUGCAGAAGAGGAGGGUGGAACUCGAUGUGUAGCGGUGAAAUGCGUAGAUAUAUGGAAGAACACCAGUGGCGAAAGCGGCUCUCUAGUCUGUAACUGACGCUGAGGUUCGAAAGCGUGGGUAGCAAACGGGAUUAGAUACCCGGGUAGUC